AGGAAGAGAAACUAACAAGGACUCCCAUUGUAACGGCGAGUGAGCGGCAACAGCUCAAUUUGAAUCUGGCACCUUCCGUGUCCUAGUUGUAUUCUCUAGAAAAGUUUUUUGCGUUGGACCCCAGUUUGUCUCUUGGAAUACAGGGGCCUAGAGGGGAGAACCCCCCAUAUGGUGAGGACGCCCACCGCUUUUUGAUGAUUUUUCAAAAAGUCGACUUGUUUGGGAAUGCAGCUCAAAUUGGGUGGUAAAUUCCUUCUAAUGCUAAUUAUUGGCGAGAAACCAAUGGCGAACAACUACCGUGAGGGAAAAAUGAAAAAAACUUUGUAAAAAAAAUUAACAAUACGUGAAAUUGUUUGAAGGGAAGCGCUUGAACUCAGACUUGCUUGCCGAGCAGUCUUUUUGCUGGCGAGCGUCUUCUUUCCGGGAUGGAUAAUGGUAGAGAGAAGGUAGCAAUUUCGGCUGUGUUAUGUGUCUCUGCUGGAUACAUCUUGGGGGACUGAGGAACACAGUGUGCCUUUGGCGGGGGUUUCGACCUCUUCACACUUAGGAUGCUGGGGGAAUGGCUUUCAACGACCCGUCUAGGAACCCAGAACCAA
rnacentral:rRNA from 1 species